rnacentral:rRNA from 1 species
UGGGGAAUUUUGGACAAUGGGCGCAAGCCUGAUCCAGCCAUGCCGCGUGAGUGAAGAAGGCCUUCGGGUUGUAAAGCUCUUUCGCAAGGAAAGAAAACUUACCUGUUAAUACCAGGUGAGGAUGACGGUACCUUGAUAAGAAGCACCGGCUAACUACGUGCCAGCAGCCGCGGUAAUACGUAGGGUGCGAGCGUUAAUCGGAAUUACUGGGCGUAAAGCGUGCGCAGGCGGUUCGAUAAGUCUGAUGUGAAAUCCCCGGGCUCAACCUGGGAACUGCGUUGGAAACUGUCGAGCUAGAGUGUAGAAGAGGGGGGUAGAAUUCCACGUGUAGCAGUGAAAUGCGUAGAGAUGUGGAGGAAUACCGAUGGCGAAGGCAGCCCCCUGGGCUAACACUGACGCUCAUGCACGAAAGCGUGGGGAGCAAACAGG